rnacentral:rRNA from 1 species
ACCGCCCUCUCAAUUUUUUUCCAUUUUUAUUGGGCCUAAAGCGUUCGUAGCCGGUUUUAUAAUUCUCUUUUUAAAUCCCUCAGCUUAACUGUGGGACUUGCUGGAGAUACUAUUAGACUUGAGGUCGGGAGAGGUUAGGGGUACUCCCAGGGUAGGGGUGAAAUCCUAUAAUCCUGGGAGGACCACCUGUGGCGAAGGCGCCUAACUGGAACGAACCUGACGGUGAGUAACGAAAGCCAGGGGCGCGAACCG